UGGGGAAUAUUGCGCAAUGGGGGGAACCCUGACGCAGCCAUGCCGCGUGAAUGAAGAAGGCCUUCGGGUUGUAAAGUUCUUUCGGUAUUGAGGAAGGUUGAUGUGUUAAUAGCACAUCAAAUUGACGUUAAAUACAGAAGAAGCACCGGCUAACUCCGUGCCAGCAGCCGCGGUAAUACGGAGGGUGCGAGCGUUAAUCGGAAUAACUGGGCGUAAAGGGCACGCAGGCGGUUAUUUAAGUGAGGUGUGAAAGCCCUGGGCUUAACCUAGGAAUUGCAUUUCAGACUGGGUAACUAGAGUACUUUAGGGAGGGGUAGAAUUCCACGUGUAGCGGUGAAAUGCGUAGAGAUGUGGAGGAAUACCGAAGGCGAAGGCAGCCCCUUGGGAAUGUACUGACGCUCGUGUGCGAAAGCGUGGGGAGCAAACAGGAUUAGAUACCCUGGUAGUCCACGCUGUAAACGCUGUCGAUUUGGGGGUUGGGGUUUAACUCUGGCGCCCGUAGCUAACGUGAUAAAUCGACCGCCUGGGGAGUACGGCCGCAAGGUUA
rnacentral:rRNA from 1 species